rnacentral:rRNA from 1 species
UGGGGAAUAUUGCACAAUGGGCGCAAGCCUGAUGCAGCAACGCCGCGUGCGGGAAGAAGGCCCUAGGGUUGUAAACCGCUUUCAGCAGGGAAGAAAAUGACGGUACCUGCAGAAGAAGGUGCGGCCAACUACGUGCCAGCAGCCGCGGUGACACGUAGGCACCAAGCGUUGUCCGGAUUUAUUGGGCGUAAAGAGCUCGUAGGCGGUUCAGUAAGUCGGGUGUGAAAACUCUGGGCUCAACCCAGAGAGGCCACCCGAUACUGCUGUGACUUGAGUACGGUAGGGGAGCGGGGAAUUCCUGGUGUAGCGGUGAAAUGCGCAGAUAUCAGGAGGAACACCAGUGGCGAAGGCGCCGCUCUGGGCCGUAACUGACGCUGAGGAGCGAAAGCAUGGGUAGCAAACAGGAUUAGAUACCCUGGUAGUCCAUGCUGUAAACGAUGGUCACUCGGUGCUGCGGGUAUCGACCCCUGCAGUGCCUUAGCUAACGCGUUAAGUGACCCG